rnacentral:rRNA from 1 species
GACGAACGCUGGCUGCGUGCCUACUACAUGCAAGUAGAACGCAGUUGCGAACGGGUGAGUACCGCGUAGGUAACUGCCUCAUCGCGUCGGAUACCUGUUGGACACGAUAGCUAAUACCGCAUACUGUGAGAUGCACCUGCGUUGUAUUAGAUAGUUGGUGAGGUAAAGGCUCACCAAGGCGACGAUCCAUAGCCGACCUGAGAGGGUGAUCGGCCAAACUGGGACUGAGACACUGCCCAGAAUCCUACGGGAGGCAGGAGUAGGGAGUCUUCGGGAAUGGACGGAAUGCUGACCGAGCAACGCCGCGGGAGGGAAGAAGGUUGUCGGAUCGUAAAGCUCUGGUGUUAGAGAAGCGGUAACUAACCAGAAAGGGACGGCUAACUACGUGCCAGCAGACGCGGUAAUUC